rnacentral:lncRNA from 1 species
GCGCCUUCAGCCCGCGUGAAACGGAUGAGGAAACCGCGCUCUGCCGGAGCGUUCCGCCGUUCUGCUGUUCUUACUGCAUUGACACGGUGAUUCUCUCCAAGGCCUCUUCCAUUCCGCCCGAAGGACGCUUCCUUUGUUAAGCAAAGAGCACCGGGGGGGAGGACGCCAGGUCUUCCCGAUGCUUCUCCAGGCAGAAAUCCUGUUUUCUCUCCUUUGAGGAUGUCUUGAGUGCCUUGGUUUCCUGCACUUCCCCAGGAAUCCCAUUCUCCAAGGUCAUCUAGAUGCUGUAUUUUUUCAAUUAUCUUAUCAAGGAGAUUUCCUGUCUCGUUAAUCAGGUUUCACACCUACGAAUUCAUCUAGGAGCCCAGCCUCAUCAGAAUCAGUAGAAUCCCAAAUAGCUCUAUUCCAUCUGUUGGGAUCCCACUGUACGCCUGCUUCUGCUAUCA